rnacentral:lncRNA from 1 species
UAUAGUAAUGAUGCUGUGUGUUUGUGUCUCUUUGUUUACACCUUUAGCAUGCACAGAAGAUCCUUGUUGACCAAAGAUGCUUCCAAAGGCAGCUCUCAUUGACCUCCCAGGUUACAGGAGCAGAAAACUAUGCUUCACAAAAAGGUUAAUCAAAGGAUUGUGGUGAUCAUCUCUUAACAGCAAGAUGUUAUGGAGGAGAUUUCAUCUGUAGAGGAGAAGAAAAAGGCAGAGGAAUUCUUUACUUCAAAUGAGAUUAGGGAUGUGUAAAAUAUGUGAAACUGAAAAAUUUUGUAGAAAAGCAC